GUCAUUUGUCAUCGAAGAAAUUUUCAUGGGCGGGUAGGUUGGCUAUCGAUUUCAAAUUUUUGGUACAAGGAAUUGGUUUUAAAAAGAAAACACAUUCCUUUCUCUGACAUUUUAUUUUCAAAGCCAUCAGAACUCCCUUUAGCCGGGGAAUCGGGUCUUUAUCUCUGAUCUAAAUCCAGCCGCCGGAAUCCUACAAAACAUGCCAUAACUAUUGGAGAAGGAGAGAGGGAUUUAAAUUGCUAUUUUCUACCUCAUGGCCUCAGCCCCAAAAUCGCUCUCUCCAAAGCGAGUUAUAAAGCUCCUCAAAUCGGAGAAAAACCCUCACUCAGCUCUCUCUAUAUUCGAUUCAGUGACUCGCUUCCCGGGUUAUUCCCACACGCCUUACGUCUUCCACCACAUCCUCAAGCGGCUCUUCGACCCCAAACUGGUCGCUCACGUAAGUCGAAUUGUGGAACUCAUUCGCACCCAGAAGUGUAAGUGUCCGGAAGAUGUUGCAUUAACGGUGAUUAAGGCCUACGCGAAGAACUCAAUGCCUGACCAGGCGUUGGAUAUUUUCCAACGAAUGCACGAGAUUUUCGGGUGUCAACCAGGAAUAAGAUCUUACAAUUCACUUCUCAAUGCCUUAAUUGAGUCGAAUAAGUGGGACGAAGCCGAGUCAUUUUUUCUCUACUUUGAAACGAUGGGUUUGUCUCCAAAUUUGCAAACCUAUAAUAUUUUAAUCAAGAUUUCUUGUAGGAAGAAGCAAUUUGAUAAGGCCAAGGAGCUGUUGAAUUGGAUGUGGGAGCAGGGUUUUAGUCCUGAUGUUUUUAGCUAUGGUACUUUGAUCAAUUCUCUUGCCAAGAAUGGUUAUAUGUCAGAUGCGUUGAAGUUGUUCGAUGAAAUGCCUGAAAGAGGGGUGACCCCUGAUGUGGCGUGUUAUAACAUUUUGAUUGAUGGGUUUUUUAAGAAAGGUGAUAUUUUGAAUGCUAGCGAGAUUUGGGAGAGGUUGUUGAAGGGGCCUUCUGUUUACCCGAAUAUUCCUUCUUAUAAUGUUAUGAUUAAUGGUCUUUGUAAGUGUGGGAAGUUUGAUGAAAGUUUCGAGAUUUGGCAUAGGAUGAAGAAAAAUGAGCGAGGACAGGAUUUAUAUACGUACAGUACUUUGAUACAUGGAUUAUGUGGGUCAGGGAACCUAGAUGGGGCUACAAGAGUGUAUAAAGAAAUGGCUGAGAAUGGGGUGUCUCCUGAUGUGGUUGUAUAUAAUACAAUGCUUAAUGGGUAUUUGCAAGCAGGGAGGAUUGAGGAAUGUUUGGAGUUGUGGAAGGUAAUGGAGAAGGAGGGUUGCCGUACUGUUGUCAGUUACAACAUACUAAUCAGAGGGUUGUUUGAGAAUGCGAAGGUGGAUGAAGCAAUUUCAAUUUGGGAGCUUUUGCCAGAGAAAGAUUGCUGUGCAGAUUCCACGACUUAUGGGGUCUUGGUUCAUGGAUUGUGUAAGAAUGGCUACUUGAAUAAGGCUUUAUCAAUCUUAGAAGAGGCAGAAAAUGGUAGAGGUGAUUUGGAUACAUUUGCAUAUUCAUCGAUGAUUAAUGGAUUAUGCAGAGAAGGAAGAUUAGAUGAAGUGGCUGGUGUCCUUGAUCAGAUGACUAAACAUGGCUGUAAACCAAAUCCUCAUGUUUGUAAUGCAGUCAUUAAUGGCUUUGUCCGAGCUUCAAAACUUGAGGAUGCACUUCGGUUUUUUGGGAAUAUGGUCAGCAAGGGUUGCUUUCCUACUGUUGUCACCUAUAACACACUCAUAAAUGGCUUAUCCAAAGCAGAAAGAUUUAGUGAGGCCUAUGCCCUUGUGAAGGAAAUGCUGCAAAAAGGAUGGAAGCCAAACAUGAUCACAUAUAGCUUGUUGAUGAAUGGCCUUUGUCAAGGCAAGAAGCUUGACAUGGCCCUCAACUUGUGGUGCCAAGCCCUUGAAAAGGGGUUCAAGCCGGAUGUGAAGAUGCACAACAUUAUAAUUCAUGGACUUUGCUCUUCAGGAAAAGUUGAAGAUGCUUUGCAGCUAUAUUCAGAAAUGAAGCAACGGAACUGUGUUCCAAAUCUUGUAACCCACAAUACUCUCAUGGAGGGGUUCUAUAAAGUAAGAGAUUUUGAAAGGGCAUCAAAGAUUUGGGAUCACAUUUUACAGUAUGGACUACAGCCAGAUAUCAUCUCCUAUAAUAUUACCCUCAAGGGCCUUUGUUCUUGCCACAGAAUAUCAGAUGCUGUUGGAUUCUUGAAUGACGCAGUAGAUCGUGGAGUUCUUCCAACUGCUAUUACAUGGAACAUACUUGUCAGGGCUGUACUUGAUAAUGGGGCUUUGACAUGAUUAUUUGGGCAUGAAAUAUCUUGGGAGCUUUCAUUCUCUUUUCAGAUUCUGUUUGGGGUUAGAUUUGAUGUGACAAGACCUUGCCCUAAAGGGAUAUAUGGAACCAGUCUUUGUACCUGCAUCCAUGAAAGGAAAUCCGGGUAUGCAAAUGAGAUAUUUUGGGUUUGUAAGUUUAUGUUCCUCUUUUCACAAGUUUUCACGCCUGCAUCCAUCCCAAAGAAUAACUGGUGGGGAUAUUUGGACUUGAAAGCUUAUGUUUUUCAUUUUUAAGGUUGAAUUUGAUAUUUUGGACAUUUUUGUCAAAUAUUAAGAGUUGAUACUCCAAUUCAUCCAGUCGAUGAAAUGAUCAGUCAGGUGAGAUAGUCGGUCUGCCAAAACAAGACUAGUACUUGGCUCUCAUUGAAUGUCAUUCAUGUAAGUCUAGGUAUCACCAGAAGCUCAAUGGAAAAUCAUUCUUUGCUUAAAUGAAUUGGAAUGACAAAUAGAGUGGUAUGUGUACUUGCCUGCAGUUGUGCAUUCUCCGUCCAGAAGCCAGGUAAAGAUUAGGGGCAUCUACCUGGUCUUAUAAACUGCAUGGAUCUCUAACAUGAACAGUGUUAUGUUUGGGUGGGGAGGAAGGACUUGGUGGUAGGAGUGGGUGUGGGAGAUAUACCUCAUUCUGAGGUUUUAGUUUCAUGACAGAGACCUCCUUAUUUUUUAAAAAAUACAUUAAGUAAUCUAGAAAUGAAGUGCAACUAUCUCAUAUACCUUUUUCAUAACUUUAUAUUGUUUGUUCUCUCAUAUGAAUGAUUUAUCCAGAGGUAAAAGGGUUAUUAAUUGAAAAUAAAGCAUGGCAUCAACAAUUUCCGUUAAUUUAAGUGACAGUUGAUGAAGGGGAGAUUGCUGCAACUGUAACUAAGCCUCAAGGAAGGGGAGAGUGCUCUUUUUAUAAUUGAGGGAGGUCCCUAAAACUCGACUAAUUUCACCAAACAGGGGUGUAUUUUUGGGGUAGCUUGAAAUAGCUUGUCAACUUGGAUAUCUCAGGUAGAAAGCAUUAUGCUUUUAUUUGGUAUUUGGAUGAGAUGCAGAAAAUCUACAUGCAAUCAUGUAGCUUGUCCACACUAAAAAAAGGUGUCAGAAGAAUAUAAAUAUGUAUUUAAAUCUCUUUGCAUCAAUCUCUAGAUUGUUCUGCCCACUGAAAACUGAUAUAUAAGCUUAAGUUAUUUCUCCCCUUUUUUUUCAAUAUAACGAUGAAGCGGAAUUCAUCAUUAAGCAUCAUAAUGUGGUAACCCAAUUACCUGGGUUUUGGUGAUUGUAGAGAUAUCACCAAGAUCAAAUCUUGAUGAUGCAAAAGCUAAGUGGCCUGAUGUAUCAAACCCAAGAAGUGAGAUUUUGGUUGGGUUUAUUAACUCAUGCUAUAUUGAUCCAAGAUGGUGAAAAAUGAUUUAUUAGAAAUUAAUUUACAGUAGAGUCAAUAAAGGACUUUACUUUUUCUCUUCCAAUCUUUUCCUUUUCUGUUUUUUCUGUCUCUGAUGAUAUCCUCAGCUCAUAGAUGAGUCUCAAAGCCACUAAAAUUGUCCCCUGAACUGCAACUUUCAGCCAAUCAGAUGGACAAGAGAUCAAGUGUCAGCAAUCCCGAUGACUAGCAUGACAACUAAUGCAAGGUAAAUGUUACUUCUGAUUUUUGAUAUAGAAUUUUCUUUGGUAAGCUGUCUAAUCUUCUCGAUUUCCUCCUUAGUUUCUGCUUUUUCUUUAGGUGUUCUUUGCCUCAGGUUCUUGAAGAACAACCCUUCAUUCUGGUCUUUCUUGAUUUGAACUUCAAAGUCUACUAAAUUCAUCUCACUCCACUCAUACAAAAAAAUUAAAUUAAUGGUGCUUCUAAAUAGUGUCAUUAUUUAUUCCUCAAAAUGGCUAUUAUUGGCACAAGCACGUCCUUGGCACUUUGUAGGGAGAAACAAUGAUGCUUUUUAAAUAAGGGCGUUUUUCGAAGUGUUACUGUACAAUGAAUUUUAAAUAAUUGUGCUUCUGUAAGCUUUGUUGUAGGAGAGGCUUAACCUUUUUCACACUUCAAAAGCACCACCUUCUUUUUAUUUUAGAAAUACCUUUACUUCCAAAUUACAAGAAAAUACAAACAGUCCCCACAUUCAGGCCAUGUAGUCCCAACACUCGGUACUUGAUAUCCAUAUUCAACUCCCAUUGGCAAGUCCUCCUCUGACUCAACCAGUAAGCUACGGCCGAUCUUACACUGGGAAAGUGCACUCACUGCUCUAUUGCACUUUUUAACUAUUUCUUGAUAUUGAUGUAUUCACUCUAGUUAUUCUAUUUCAAAUAUGUUUAUUCAAUUCGUGGGCCAGUUUUUUCCAAUAAAGUUGAGCCUUCUUAUAAUCAUUCUCUGAUUACAGUUUGGAGGAAAUAUUCUCAAAUUUAGAGGAUGAGAAUCAUGUACAAUGACAAAAAGCAUUGACACCAUCUCUGAAGAGCAACCACCUUGGUUUUGUCAAAUCAUUUUGGGAAGUAAAUCCCUUACAUGCAUAAAUAAUGCCUUUUGGCAUGUUCUGACUAUUUGAUACUUGAUAAGUCGGUCUUUAGGAUAUUGUGUUGACCUUUUAUUUUCUGAUGAAACAGAAGCAUUCUGGUGCUUUAUUUGUAAACAGAAGCACUCUUCCUCAAUCUGACUAGAAAGCCUGUAUUUAAACAAAAUAUUUGUUUAUUAUGGUUAAAAGGAACAUGAGAAGGAUGAGGAGUCCGCCCCACAGUUACAAAAACAUGAUCAUAAAAAUAAUCAUUCCUUUUUCACAGAGCUUAUUUGAAUCUCGCUGGUCCAAGUUUGCUAUUGAAAGUCAUCAGAGUUGCCAUUCAUGAAGCCAUGGAGCAGCAAACCAUAUCCAUUGCCAAAGCAGGAAUAACAACUGGGCUUAAUUCUAGAACUUCAGGGAUGAUCUUAAGGUCCAUGGCUCCUUUCUUGCUCAAAUUGUUCUUCUUUUUGAGAUGGAGAGAGCACUUUGAAUAUCCAAUGUGUCUGUCACCAGUAGGGACUAGUGCUGCAAUAUGAAGAGCACUUCUUACAUCUUAUGUGCCUGUUCUUCGGUAACAAUAAUAAUUCAUCCUUUCUUUUAAAGAAAAUUAAUUUGCAUAUUUUCAGGAUGGAAAGGCUUCUUGUUUCUAUUUCC